GAUGAACGCUGGCGGCGUGCCUAAUACAUGCAAGUCGAGCGAACAGACGAGGAGCUUGCUCCUCUGACGUUAGCGGCGGACGGGUGAGUAACACGUGGAUAACCUACCUAUAAGACUGGGAUAACUUCGGGAAACCGGAGCUAAUACCGGAUAAUAUAUUGAACCGCAUGGUUCAAUAGUGAAAGACGGUUUUGCUGUCACUUAUAGAUGGAUCCGCGCCGCAUUAGCUAGUUGGUAAGGUAACGGCUUACCAAGGCAACGAUGCGUAGCCGACCUGAGAGGGUGAUCGGCCACACUGUAACUGAGACACGGUCCAGACUCCUACGGGAGGCAGCAGUAGGGAAUCUUCCGCAAUGGGCGAAAGCCUGACGGAGCAACGCCGCGUGAGUGAUGAAGGUCUUCGGAUCGUAAAACUCUGUUAUUAGGGAAGAACAAAUGUGUAAGUAACUAUGCACGUCUUGACGGUACCUAAUCAGAAAGCCACGGCUAACUACGU
rnacentral:rRNA from 1 species